CACAGGAAGCCGAGCUCGUCUGGAUUCCCACCAUGGCCUGGGCCCCUCUGCUCCUCACGCUGCUCACUUACUGCUCAGGGGUCAGUUCGCAGCCCGUGGUGACUCAGGAGCCCUCGAUAUCAGUGAUCCCAGGAGGGACUGUCACUCUGUCCUGCAGCCUGAGCACUGGAGCCAUCACCAGCGGCAACUAUCCAGCCUGGUACCAGCAGAAACCAGGCUCUGUUCCUAAGUUGCUCAUAUAUGAAACUAAUAAGAGACCCUCAGGGAUCCCUGCCCGGUUCUCCGGGUCCAUUUCCAGUAACGAUGCUGCCCUGACCAUCACCAGUGUCCAGGCAGAGGAUGAGGCUGACUAUUACUGUACUGUGUGGACUGGUAGUGCGUGGAUCUUCGGUGGAGGAACCCAGCUGACCGUCCUUGGUCAGCCAAAGGCAUCUCCCACCGUGCACCUCUUCCCUCCAUCUUCGGAAGAGAUAAAAACAAAGAGCAAAGCCACACUGGUGUGUCUGCUGGGCAGCUUUUACCCAGGGUCAGUCCAAGUCACCUGGAAAGCUGACGGCAAGCAGAUCUCCUCUGGAGUGGAGACGACCAAACCCUCCAAACAGAGUGACAACAAGUACAUGGCCAGCAGUUACCUGUCUCUGGCUGCAUCAGAUUGGAAGACCCAUGAGACCUACACCUGCCAGGUGACACACGAUGGGAAGAGCUUUGAGAAGUCCCUAAAGAGCUCAGAGUGUUCUUAAUCCUCUGACCCCCGGAGGGCUCGGCCGGUUCCCACGUCAGUCUGUAGGGGGCUCCCCAAGGGAGCCAGGAUCUGUCUGUAGCAUUCCCAUAAUGCUGAUUUCCAGCAAAUGUGCUUCCUAUUUUAGGUGGGGGAUUUUACCAAUUCAUGACACCUGUCGUUAUUCCCACGUCCCUACUGCUCUCACCCCCCUGCAUUCCCUGGAAUUGUCCUUCCUGCUUUAGUCUCUGAUGCAGCCUUGUUAUGAUAUUAAUAAAAUCAGAAAAAAUUGA